AACGAACGCUGGCGGCAGGCCUAACACAUGCAAGUCGAGCGCGCCCUUCGGGGUGAGCGGCGGACGGGUGAGUAACGCGUGGGAACGUGCCCUUUUCUACGGAAUAGCCUCGGGAAACUGAGAGUAAUACUGUAUACGCCCUUUGGGGGAAAGAUUUAUCGGAAAAGGAUCGGCCCGCGUUGGAUUAGGUAGUUGGUGGGGUAAUGGCCUACCAAGCCGACGAUCCAUAGCUGGUUUGAGAGGAUGAUCAGCCACACUGGGACUGAGACACGGCCCAGACUCCUACGGGAGGCAGCAGUGGGGAAUCUUAGACAAUGGGGGCAACCCUGAUCUAGCCAUGCCGCGUGAGUGAUGAAGGCCUUAGGGUUGUAAAGCUCUUUCAGCUGGGAAGAUAAUGACGGUACCAGCAGAAGAAGCCCCGGCUAACUCCGUG
rnacentral:rRNA from 1 species